rnacentral:rRNA from 1 species
UACGGGGGGGGCAAGCGUUGUUCGGAAUUACUGGGCGUAAAGGGCGCGUAGGCGGCCUGCUAAGUCGGACGUGAAAUCCCUCGGCUCAACCGGGGAACUGCGUCCGAUACUGGCAGGCUUGAAUCCGGGAGAGGGAUGCGGAAUUCCAGGUGUAGCGGUGAAAUGCGUAGAUAUCUGGAGGAACACCGGUGGCGAAGGCGGCAUCCUGGACCGGCAUUGACGCUGAGGCGCGAAAGCCAGGGGAGCAAACGGG